GUGGGACUAGCUCAGAGGUAGAGCGUGUGCUUAGCAUACAUGAGGUUCUGGGUUCAAUCCCCAGUUACCUCC
rnacentral:tRNA from 1 species